AUUGAACGCUGGCGGCAGGCCUAACACAUGCAAGUCGAGCGGAGCGGCAGACGGGUGAGUAAUGCCUAGGAAUCGGCAUGGUAGUGGGGGAUAACGUCCAGAAACGGGCGCUAAUACCACAUCCUAUCGGAUGAGCAUAGGUCGGAUUAGCUAGUUGGUGGGGUAAAGGCCUACCAAGGCGACGAUCCGUAACUGGGCUGAGAGGAUGAUCAGUCACACUGGAACUGAGACACGGUCCAGACUCCUACGGGAGGCAGCAGUGGGGAAUAUUGGACAAUGGGCGAAAGCCUGAUCCAGCCAUGCCGCGUGUUUGAAGAAGGUCUUCGGAUUGUAAAGCACUUUAAGUUGGGAGGCGUUACCAACAGAAUAAGCACCGGCUAACUUCGUGCCAGCAGCCGCGGUAAUUC
rnacentral:rRNA from 1 species